rnacentral:rRNA from 1 species
ACACAGGUGGUCAGGUAGAGAAUACCAAGGCGCUUGAGAGAACUCGGGUGAAGGAACUAGGCAAAAUGGUGCCGUAACUUCGGGAGAAGGCACGCUGAUAUGUAGGUGAAGUGAUUUACUCAUGGAGCUGAAAUCAGUCGAAGAUACCAGCUGGCUGCAACUGUUUAUUAAAAACACAGCACUGUGCAAACACGAAAGUGGACGUAUACGGUGUGACGCCUGCCCGGUGCCGGAAGGUUAAUUGAUGGGGUUAUCCGUAAGGAGAAGCUCUUGAUCGAAGCCCCGGUAAACGGCGGCCGUAACUAUAACGGUCCUAAGGUAGCGAAAUUCCUUGUCGGGUAAGUUCCGACCUGCACGAAUGGCGUAAUGAUGGCCAGGCUGUCUCCACCCGAGACUCAGUGAAAUUGAACUCGCUGUGAAGAUGCAGUGUACCCGCGGCAAGACGGAAAGACCCCGUGAACCUUUACUAUAGCUUGACACUGAACACUGGUCCUUGAUGUGUAGGAUAGGUGGGAGGCUUUGAAGCGUGGACGCCAGUCUGCGUGGAGCCGCCCUUGAAAUACCACCCUUUAAUGGCUGGUGUUCUAACGUGGGCCCGUAAUCCGGGUUGCGGACAGUGUCUGGUGGGUAGUUUGACUGGGGCGGUCUCCUCCUAAAGAGUAACGGAGGAGCACGAAGGUUGGCUAAUCCUGGUCGGACAUCAGGAGGUUAGUGCAAUGGCAUAAGCCAGCUUGACUGCGAGCGUGACGGCGCGAGCAGGUGCGAAAGCAGGUCAUAGUGAUCCGGUGGUUCUGAAUGGAAGGGCCAUCGCUCAACGGAUAAAAGGUACUCCGGGGAUAACAGGCUGAUACCGCCCAAGAGUUCAUAUCGACGGCGGUGUUUGGCACCUCGAUGUCGGCUCAUCACAUCCUGGGGCUGAAGUAGGUCCCAAGGGUAUGGCUGUUCGCCAUUUAAAGUGGUACGCGAGCUGGGUUUAGAACGUCGUGAGACAGUUCGGUCCCUAUCUGCCGUGGGCGCUGGAGAACUGAGGGGGGCUGCUCCUAGUACGAGAGGACCGGAGUGGACGCAUCACUGGUGUUCGGGUUGUCAUGCCAAUGGCACUGCCCGGUAGCUAAAUGCGGAAGAGAUAAGUGCUGAAAGCAUCUAAGCACGAAACUUGCCCCGAGAUGAGUUCUCCCUGACUCCUUGAGAGUCCUGAAGGAACGUUGAAGACGACGACGUUGAUAGGCCGGGUGUGUAAGCGCAGCGAUGCGUUGAGCUAACCGGUACUAAUGAACCGUGAGGCUUAACCUU